GACGAACGCUGGCGGCGUGCUUAACACAUGCAAGUCGAACGAUGAAGCCGCUUCGGUGGUGGAUUAGUGGCGAACGGGUGAGUAACACGUGGGUAAUCUGCCCUGCACUCUGGGAUAAGCCUUGGAAACGAGGUCUAAUACCGGAUACGACACGCCACCGCAUGGUGUGCGCGUGGAAAGUUCCGGCGGUGCAGGAUGAGCCCGCGGCCUAUCAGCUUGUUGGUGGGGUAGUGGCCUACCAAGGCGACGACGGGUAGCCGGCCUGAGAGGGUGACCGGCCACACUGGGACUGAGACACGGCCCAGACUCCUACGGGAGGCAGCAGUGGGGAAUCUUGCGCAAUGGGCGAAAGCCUGACGCAGCAACGCCGCGUGGGGGAUGACGGCCUUCGGGUUGUAAACCUCUUUCGACAGGGACGAAGCGCGAGUGACGGUACCUGUAGAAGAAGCACCGGCUAACUACGUGCCAGCAGCCGCCGCAG
rnacentral:rRNA from 1 species